rnacentral:rRNA from 1 species
AGAGGAAGGAGAAGUCGUAACAAGGUUUCCGUAGGUGAACCUGCGGAAGGAUCAUUGCUGAAUCCAAAGAUUGAAUGACUCGCGGAUUGGUUUAUCCUGUACUGGUCACGUGAGAUGCCUUGUGUGACCAGAUGUCGAGCAGUUAUGAUCAUGGCCGUCUCGAUGAACAAACCAAGUUCGGCACGGAUCGUGCCAAGGUGCUUUGCUAGGAUUGGCGUGUCCUCUCUUGUUCCCCUCCACAUGGGGCACAAUGGGCUUGGGUGCAUGCGAUCUCAACCACAUUGAAAAUGACUCUCGGCAACGGAUAUCUCGGCUCUUGCAUCGAUGAAGAACGUAGCGAAAUGCGAUACUUGGUGUGAAUUGCAGAAUCCCGUGAACCAUCGAGUCUUUGAACGCAAGUUGCGCCCAAAGCCACUUGGCCAAGGGCACGCCUGCUUGGGUGUCGUGAAACACUCGCCCCUUAUCACCCCAUGCAUUGUUCAUAGGGAUUGGAUCGGGCGCGUAAUGUGGCCUCCCGUGGGGUGGACGCGUGCAGCGUCUAGGUGCGGUUGGCCUAAAAUUGAGCACGGCAGUCGCUUGCACCACGACUUAUGGUGGAUUGUCCCGGACACGCGUGAGAUUUGGCCGUGUCGUGUGAUGGGCUGCCGUUGGGCUUCGGACUCGGAUGAUCUUCGCAUGCGAUCCCAGGUCAGGCGGGGCUA